CAGCCGCCGCGGGAAUACGAAGGGUGCAAGCGUUACUCGGAAUUACUGGGCGUAAAGCGUGCGUAGGUGGUGGUUUAAGUCCGUUGUGAAAGCCCUGGGCUCAACCUGGGAAUUGCAGUGGAUACUGGGUCACUAGAGUGUGGUAGAGGAUAGUGGAAUUUCCGGUGUAGCAGUGAAAUGCGUAGAGAUCGGGAGGAACAUCAGUGGCGAAGGCGGCCAUCUGGGACAACACUGACGCUGAGGCACGAAAGCGUGGGGAGCAAACAGGAUUAGAUACCCCUGUAGUCCCUGUCUCUUAUAC
rnacentral:rRNA from 1 species